CCUUAAAGAUUGCUGUUUUGCGAUCAUGUGAAUAAAAAUGGCGGACAGCGGAGAUGGACCGAAUAGUGCUUCGUCCAGAAAAGAUAAUAGAAAUGCGGUUACUGACGGUCCAGUGACCGAUCCAGCUUCUGGUAAUAAGAACCUAGAGGCAUCAAAUAAUGCCUUUCACGGUCAGAGAACAAAAUUAGAUUCCAAAUCUGGAGCUUUGAAGAAGGCCAGCCGGUACCGUAGCCGUUCCCUGUCUGCUAGUAGCACCGACAGCUACAGUUCUGGUAUGACGUCUUAUACAGGAAGUUCAUCCGACGAAGACGAUGUGUCCCCUCGUGAGAAAAUUCAGAAGACGGAGAAAGGCUUUACCGACUUCUGCGUACGGAAUAUCAAUCAGCAUGCCUUUGGUCGACGAGAAAUUGAGAUCGCCGAACAAGAAAUGCCUGGGAUCAUGGCCCUACGAAAACGAGCUAGUGACGAUAAACCGUUGAAGAAUGCUAAAAUCGUUGGAUGUACUCACAUCAAUGCCCAGACGGCAGUUCUUAUCGAAACCCUGGUAGAGCUUGGAGCUCAAGUCAGAUGGGCUGCGUGCAAUAUCUAUUCUACCCAAAAUGAGGUGGCCGCUGCUUUGGCCCAUGCCGGAUAUCCAGUGUUUGCAUGGCGUGGAGAGACCGAGGAAGAUUUUUGGUGGUGCAUUGAUAAGUGCCUAGCGGCAGAGAAUUGGCAACCUAAUAUGAUCCUGGAUGAUGGAGGAGAUGCAACUCAUGUUAUGUUGAAAAAGUAUAAUGCCAUGUUUAAAAUGAUUCAAGGAAUUGUAGAAGAAAGCGUAACAGGUGUGCACAGGUUAUACCAAUUGUCAAAAGCUGGCAAGCUCUCUGUACCUGCCAUGAACGUAAACGACAGCGUGACAAAGAAUAAAUAUGACAAUCUCUACAGCUGUCGUGAAACCAUUAUUGAUAGUUUAAAGAGGUGUACCGAUAUGAUGUUUGGUGGGAAGCAAGUGGUUAUUUGCGGUUACGGAGAGGUCGGAAAGGGAUGCUGCCAAACGCUCAAAGGUUUAGGUUGUGUCGUCUAUAUUACAGAAAUCGACCCAAUUUGUGCGCUACAGGCAAGCAUGGACGGCUUCAGGGUGAUGAAGUUAAACGAAGUCAUUAGAAACGUUGACAUCGUUAUCACUGCUACAGGAAACAAAAACGUAGUUACGCGCGAACACAUGGAUAAGAUGAAGAGCGGCUGCGUCGUGUGCAACAUGGGUCACAGUAAUACUGAAAUAGAUAUUAAUAGCCUACGUACUCCAGACCUGACAUGGGAAAAGGUCAGAUCGCAGGUGGAUCAUGUGAUCUGGCCCGAUGGCAAAAGAAUCGUCCUUCUGGCCGAAGGUAGAUUGGUCAAUCUCUCCUGCUCCAGCAUCCCGUCUUUUGUCGUUUCGAUCACGGCUGCGACACAAGCUUUGGCACUUAUUGAACUUUUCAAUGCUCCUCCAGGACGAUACAAAAGCGACGUUUAUUUAUUGCCUAAAAGAAUGGAUGAAUAUGUAGCAUCGUUACACUUGCCUACCUUCGACGCUCAUUUGACGGAACUCACGGACGAACAGGCGAAAUAUAUGGGUCUUAAUAAAGCAGGACCUUUUAAGCCCAGUUACUAUCGCUAUUGAACGGGACGAGACUGUGAUUGGGAUGUUAAACGUACGGUAGAGACGACACUCCAAGUAUUAGACUUUCUUUCAACCAAAGGACGGGGAAUCCGAGAAAAAGAACAAUAACUAGUCGAAGACUCGUUGACGCACUACGUUGAAAAGAUGAAGGCCUGGUCUACAAUUGCGCGUCUAGACUUUGUCUAUGAAAUAUGAACGAAUCUUCCUGAGAAAAAAAUAUGAACAAUUCCUGAAAAAUGGGUGACAAUGCGUUUUUCAGGAAUUUGGAAAGAAAGAAAUGUGAAGGCAGGUCUCAAUCGUGGAACCAUACAAGGUUUAACCAUUUUAACCAGCUGUACAUGUGUAGGAGUAUUAUUGGUUGUUUCCAUUGAAAUUUUAAGGCGAUAUGAAAGAGUUUUAUAUUUAUAACACUUUUCUCCAAACUGGGUGCACCGAAUCACUUGGAACUUCAACAAGUGAUUGUGAAGGUCCUAAGGAAGAAUACAGUGCUUUGAGCUAAAUGAACAAAUUCUUUAUCAAAAAUGAAAUUUCAUGAGCAGCAUGCUCUUCUUUAGGGUCUCCAUAAUCACAUGCUGAAGUUUCCAUCGACUCGGUACAUCCAGUUUGGAGAAAAGUUAUAUAAAUAUUUUCUUACAUACAUAUAAAAUGACUCUUUCAUAUCACCUUGAAAGUGGAAGUAUAUUUUUACCGUUGAAUGGCUGUCUAUAUCUUUCAAAUGUCUAGUAAUGGCAUUUCAGAAAUAGUAAAUAACUCGGAGCAUUUGCCGUUGAAUCUUUCCCACGGCAUAUCUUCAUUUAGCAUAUCUUCGUUUUAAAGAUAGUAUAGUUGUUUUGUUCCACUGAUUACAAAGGAGAAUCUUUGCACCAAAAAUAUGAAUCUUCCAGUAUUGUUGCUUAAAGUAGUUUCUUCGUACCGAAGAAAGUAUCGAGAUUGAAGAUCCAAGCGAAAACUGACCUUGAUUACCGAGAAAUGUGUGCGAUUACAGUUUCUAUAUUUGCGCCUUUGUUUUACCUUCCAACGUUUCACUUUUUUCGAACGACAUGAUAGAUCCAUAGGCCUAAGAUAUGUAUCGUUUAAUCGAGAGGGUAUAAACCUCGCUGAGUUAGUCCACGUGUAUGUAAAUUGUAAACCUUAAGACAGGAUUAAAAAAAAAAAAAAACAGCUACAUCAAUCUGUAUUAGAGGCCAUCGUUGGUGGAAAACGAAGGUAAUCAGGAAAAUUUAUCGUCAAAUGAGGUAAUGCCAUCGAAGUAGUUUAAGGGGAGCUCAGUACUAAUUCCGUGCGUUAAUUUCCUAUAAAAUUGUAAUACAUGCUUUUGCAUGUAGCACUCGUUUGUUGAACACCGAAGAAGUGCAUUCACGUUACGAUAUUACGCUUUGUGUACUUGCACUGUAUGUUCCUCGCAAUACCGUCAUAUUCUAUAUUUUACUACUUCUACAUUAACAUCUUGCCAUUUUAAUUAAAUUAGUUAAUCAGAAUCAACAUAAUUUACUGUUAAAGUACCACAGGCUACUUUCGUCCGAGCAAUUUACAUUAUAAUAUACAUUAUUCAGUCUAAGUAGAUUGUCGUGGAUAACAAUGUCUCGUUCCAGCUUGAAAUAUAAGAAAGAUUUUUCUUUUUUUCAUUGAUGUUAAUGCACGCACAAAAAUGUGCGAUAUUAAGUCGAUACGAAGUCAAUAUGAAAUAAAUCUGUCUAUCUGGGUAUAAAGUAGGAAAAUAACAUUUUCUUUUUCCGACGUGUAGCCCACUAUUACGAUGUCAACUACCACAGUCGUAACAAUUCGCGUGGAAUUAUUAUUGAGCUCCCGUGGAGAGAUCGUUGAGAAAAAAUACUACAUUUAAUGAAAAUGUGUCUACUAUGAACUUAGAGCUUUUCACGUCGAGGGAAUCGAAACGUUCAGUUCUGUACGCUGGAGAGAAGCCGUUAGAUAUGAUUCCAUUAAAGCAUCGUUAGUAGUAUUUUUGUAAAGUAAGCGUUAUAAUAAAUACGUUGAUUUACCAACAGUCUUUUGCGAAUCGGACAUGAAAAUACCCUGAACCGAUUUCAAAUGAACUAAUUUUCUUUAUGCUCGUUUCAUCGUGUUUAAUAUUCGUGGCCUAUUCGCGCGAAUUCGUAUGCUUCCACCUCCGGAUGUUCACUUAAAAAAUAGAGAAAUAUCGCUGAAAGGCAAAUUGAUUCCGAUCGCACAACUCGUUGCCCCUUAUCACGUGGAACGCAGAGCGAGGGAUGUCGAAGAUUUUUUUUAUUUAACUUUCAGACAAUAGUUUCCUCGCCAUUGGCCUCGUUCAACGUGUUAACGGAGCAACCAAUUGCCAACUCGAAAAUGGAUAUCGGGCAACCAGUCGAGUGACUCGUUUUAUUGACACCUCAGAGUAUGACAGAAUGUUAUAUCAGGGCGCGCUCGUCCCGAGACGUGAUAAAUAAAUAAUAAUGUGAAGCGAAAAAAAGUAGUAAAAAUAUAUUUUACAAUACUCUGUA